rnacentral:pre_miRNA from 1 species
CACCGGCAUCUGAUGAAGCUGCCAGCAUGAUCUAAAUAACUUUCUUUCUCCGUUGUUUUCCUGACGAUUGAAAAGAGACAUGAGAGUAAAUUAGAUCAUGUUCGCAGUUUCACCCGUUGACUGU